rnacentral:rRNA from 1 species
GACGAACGCUGGCGGCGUGCUUAACACAUGCAAGUCGAACGGAAAGGCCCUGCUUUUGUGGGGUGCUCGAGUGGCGAACGGGUGAGUAACACGUGAGUAACCUGCCCUUGACUUUGGUAUAACUUCAGGAAACUGGGGCUAAUACCGGAUAGGAGCUCCUGCUGCAUGGUGGGGGUUGGAAAGUUUCGGCGGUUGGGGAUGGACUCGCGGCUUAUCAGCUUGUUGGUGGGGUAGUGGCUUACCAAGGCUUUGACGGGUAGCCGGCCUGAGAGGGUGACCGGCCACAUUGGGACUGAGAUACGGCCCAGACUCCUACGGGAGGCAGCAGUGGGGAAUAUUGCACAAUGGGCGGAAGCCUGAUGCAGCAACGCCGCGUGCGGGAAGACGGCCUUCGGGUUGUAAGCCGCUUUCGCCUGUAACGAAGCGUGAGUGACGGUAAUGGGUAAAGAAGCACCGGCUAACUACGUG